UACAGGGGGUGCAAACGUUGCUCGGAAUCAUUGGGCGUAAAGCGCACGUAGGCGGUUCGUUAUGUCGGAUGUGAAAGCCCUUGGCUUAACCGAGGAAGUGCAUCCGAAACUGGCGAGCUAGAGUACGAAAGAGGAUCGCGGAAUUCCCGGUGUAAAGGUGAAAUUCGUAGAUAUCGGGAGGAACACCGGUGGCGAAGGCGGCGAUCUGGGUCGAUACUGACGCUGAGGUGCGAAAGCGUGGGGAGCAAACAGG
rnacentral:rRNA from 1 species